rnacentral:misc_RNA from 1 species
UUUCCGUAGGUGAACCUGCGGAAGGAUCAUUAAAGAGUAAUGGUCUUCGGGCUUGGUCUCCAACCCUUUGUUUAACUACCAUGUUGCUUUGUCGGGCGCGUCCCACCACCGCCGGAAGUUUUGACUCGACAAAACUUCUGGCUCGUACCAGUAUGUGGACACUACCAAUUCAUAACUUAGAAUAAUGUCUUAGUUAAAAACUUAAUAGUUAAAACAUUCAACAACGGGUCUCAUGGUUCUUGCGUACAUGAAGAACGCAACAGAUCGGAAGAGGACACC